rnacentral:rRNA from 1 species
GUGCCAGCAGCCGCGGUAAUACAGAGGGUGCGAGCGUUGUCCGGAAUCACUGGGCGUAAAGGGCGCGUAGGCGGUUUUUCAAGCGUGCGGUGAAAGCUCAGGGCUCAACCCUGAGUCGGCCGUGCGAACUGGAAGACUGGAGCACGGUAGAGGCACAUGGAAUUCCGGGUGUAGCGGUGGAAUGCGUAGAGAUCCGGAAGAACACCGGUGGCGAAGGCGGUGUGCUGGGCCGUUGCUGACGCUGAGGCGCGACAGCGUGGGGAGCAAACAGGAUUAGAUACCCCUGUAGUCC